AGCUACUGGUAGGGCCUCCCUAGCCAGAUUGGUCGAGGGGGAGAGGUCAGACUAAGACAGGUACCCUGGUCCUCCAGGUUGGGGAUUGGUCGCAAGGCUAACAACCUUGCACCAUAAAAAGGAAGAACAAAACCUCCGACAGAAUGGAAGAGGGGAGUUGAGGAGGCCAUAGAAGAAGAAGUGCCAAUGAAUGGUAGUUCUCAAAAUGAUGGGAAUAAAAGUUGAAAAAUAUUAUGCCUCAGAAGUGGACAAAGAUGCUAUAAAUGUUAGCAAAUUUAAUCAUGGAGACAGAAUUGAGCAUAUAGGAGACGUAGAAACGCUGAGCCCCGAAAAGCUGUCUCGUCUUGGUCCCAUAGAUUUGCUCUUAGGUGGUUCUCCAUGUAGCGACUUAAGCCUGGUCAACCCUGCUCCCAAGGGCCUCUACGGUGGAACAGACGGGAGGAUGCAGUUGGAACGGAUGCCACACUGCUCCUGAGGAUUUGAAAUUGGAAGAAGGCAGUGGAGGAUAGGACCGAAUGGAAGAGGAGAAUUGAGGAGGCCGUGGACCGAAUACCGACCAGAGAGCCAUAGAAGAAGAAGAAGAAGAAGAAGAGAAGUCUGUGCAUGUCAUGUUUUGUUUACAAUUUUACUGCAGUAGAUGUGGCGACUUUCAGCAAUGAAAAACACGUAUUUUGCAUAUUAGAUAGACCUCCCAUUUAGUUAUGAUUGAACGUGAUCAGCAGCCGAAAGCAGUUCUUUUCGAACCUGCGCAAGUUAGCAUUAUGGCCAAAUUUAACAAAAGGUAUUAUCACAAAUAAUGAGGGCACUGUUAUUUCUGAGAAUAUCUCAAAGUGUUAUAUCAAUAAUACUCUGGACGCUCUGAACUGAAGUAAUUGUUUCUUCCGACAGGGCAGCGCACCAGCAUUUGAUGAAAUCUUGAAGCAGAAAUUUAUAGAUCUUAGACCUUAGAAAUGAAAAUAUGGGUUCUCAUUAGCAGAAUUACAAACUCUUUUAUGUUUCUGGGAAAUUAAUUUGAAUGUUGUGAGGCAUCUCAGUUUCUGUAGUCAUUGAAAAUACUAUGUUGUUACAGAAUUCAGACAAAUCUUUGUUCAGUACGAGUGCCAGAGAGUGCAUUGGUGAUGUGACGGUCAGUUUCUACAGAGCAGAAAAAAUCCUUUAAAGCCAAGUGGUAAAUAUGUGUCCCACCUGCUUGAAAAAAUCAUUUUAAUUUAUGUGUUUCAUAUGACACUCAGUGUAAACAGAGAGUAAACUCCUUAAACAGCGUUAACAAAUUGAUCUUCGUAAUGGUGAAGUGUUCAGUUUCCUUCACAAUAAGAAAUGAACUAUGAAAUAUUAU